rnacentral:rRNA from 1 species
GUCCACGCCGUAAACGAUGGGUGCUAGGUGUGGGAGGUCAUCCACUCCUUCCGUGCCGCAGCUAACGCAUUAAGCACCCCGCCUGGGGACUACGGCCGCAAGGCUAAAACUCAAAGGAAUUGACGGGGGCCCGCACAAGCGGCGGAGCAUGUGGCUUAAUUCGAAGCAACGCGAAGAACCUUACCAGGGCUUGAAAUGCGCGGAAAAGCCGGGGAAACCCGGUGUUCUUCGGAGUCGCGCACAGGUGGUGCAUGGUUGUCGU